AUUGUCACGAAGGAGAGGUGUUCUUGGAAUCACCGAGCCCCCGUACUCCGCAUCUCAUCUCUUAUCACCCAUCCAAGAGUCUCUUCUGGAGCAAGAAGAGAGAAACCAUGAUGGCGUUCGAGGUCCGCAGGCCGCCGUUCGGGCGGCGGAAUCCGGCGGCAUUCCAUCGGAUCCUCCUUCUGCUGCUAUUCUUCUCGCUCUUGCUUUCGGCUCCGGAUCCCGUCCGCUGCUCUUCUUCCUCCACGAUGCACAACAACAACUGGGCCGUCUUGGUUUGCACCUCCCGUUUCUGGUUUAAUUACAGACACAUGGCCAAUACUCUAUCAUUGUAUAGGACAGUGAAACGACUUGGAAUCCCUGAUGAGCGGAUACUACUUAUGUUGGCAGAUGAUAUGGCCUGCAAUGCGAGGAACAACUACCCUGCCCAAGUUUUCAACAAUGAGAACCAUCAACUUAAUUUAUAUGGUGAUAAUGUUGAAGUUGAUUAUCGAGGUUAUGAAGUGACUGUUGAAAAUUUUUUGCGAGUUUUGACUGGGAGACAUGAGAGUGCUGUCCCAAGAUCAAAGCGUCUUUUAAGUGAUGAAGGAAGCCAUGUUCUUUUGUACAUGACUGGGCAUGGGGGAGAUGAAUUUUUGAAAUUUCAAGAUUCAGAAGAACUUCAGAGCCAUGAUUUAGCUGAUGCAGUGAAGCAAAUGAAAGAGAAGCAUAGAUUCAAGGAGCUGCUGAUAAUGGUUGACACUUGCCAAGCUGCCACUCUCUUUUCCCAGCUUCAAUCUCCUGGUGUUUUGGCAAUUGGAAGCAGCAUGAAAGGGGAAAAUUCCUAUUCUCACCAUCUUGACUCAGAUAUUGGUGUUUCUGUUGUGGAUAGGUUCACAUUCUACACCCUUGCCUUUUUUGAGAAGCUAAACAUGUACAGCAAUGCCUCAUUGAACAGUCUGUUUAAUUCAUACAAUCCAAGUCUGCUGAUGUCUACUGCAUAUUACCGAAUGGAUCUCUAUCAGCGGCCCCUGAUUGAGGUGCCCGUAACAAAUUUUUUUGGGUCAGUCAUGAAAACAAUUCACACAGACUCUGCAUACACUGGCUCCGCAGCUGAACCGAAAAUUAAAGUACCAUAUGUCUUGGAAGAUAAUGAGGCAGACCGUCUAAUGUUAGAAAGAGAGCCUGAGGAGGACAAAAUAUAUAGUCAGGACAAGAAGGAGGGGAGCUGUAGUUUCCAUGCAUGGUUGAGAUAUUUUCAAGAAAGACUGGAGGAUGAGAAUGCUGACACUUUAGUGAAAUAUGGCUUUGGAACCAUGAUUCUAUUGCUGGCGGCUUCCACUUGGCUAUCAACAUAGGCAUUCCAAAUGACAUGCAUUUGUCAUCAUCUUUUGUGCCAUAGCUAUAUAUCUUCAUGAUAUCAAGGGUUUGACAUCGUGUCCAUUCCAUGAUAUUUCAGAGGGAUAUUUAAACUAGGGUAUGAGGUUUGUCAAGGAAGUCAUGUAUAUGGCUGCAAAUGGUCCAAGAUGUUCAUCAACAGCUAGUGCCCGGCUUGGUAAUAGGCUCAUUUGCUCUCUCAGCUCAACUAGGAAAUGAGCCAAGCUCAAACAAGUUCUAAGCUCAUAAGUGAGUGGAGCCUGGACGAAGGAUGCUUGCAAAAUUUAACAGAACCUCAGCCCAUAGCUCAUGUGAGUCUAGCUUGAUCGUGCCCGUUAUAUCAUAAGCAAGCUUGAGCGCCUAAUACUUGGCUUGGCUUUUUUGCAUCCCUUAUAUAUGUGACAGUUUUGACAUACUAAUUUGUAGUAAGAUUUGCCGUCUCGGUACCGAAUCCUGUACCGGUACCAUUCUAUUACACUGUCCAUAUACGGUACAAUACGAGACAGCAAGGCGUACCGAGUGUCGGUAUAGUAUGAGACUAUGUACCGGUUCAAUACACCCGGUAUGAUACGGUACCCAUCGGUAGGGCAAACCUUGAUGUCAUUGCUUGCAUCAAAUAUAGGAUAAUACUUGUCUUUGUUUGUAAACAAAAAUGGUUAAAAUAACUCAUCGAGGAACUCUUUUGUUUUA